CAGGGAAUCUUCCACAAUGGGCGAAAGCCUGAUGCAGCGACGCCGCGUGGGGGAGGAAGGCCCUAGGGUCGUAAACCCCUUUCAGUGGGGACGAAACUGACGGUACCCACAGAAGAAGGCCCGGCCAACUACGUGCCAGCAGCCGCGGUAAGACGUAGGGGCCAAGCGUUGUCCGGAUUUAUUGGGCGUAAAGAGCUCGUAGGCGGUUGCGUAAGUCGGAUGUGAAAACUCGGGGCUCAACUCCGAGACGCCAUCCGAUACUGCGCUGACUUGAAUCCAGUAGGGGAGUGUGGAAUUCCUGGUGUAGCGGUGAAAUGCGCAGAUAUCAGGAGGAACACCCAUGGCGAAGGCAGCACUCUGGGCUGGUAUUGACGCUGAGGAGCGAAAGCAUGGGUAGCAAACAGGAUUAGAUACCCCCGUAGUCC
rnacentral:rRNA from 1 species